rnacentral:rRNA from 1 species
AUACGAAGGGUGCAAGCGUUACUCGGAAUUACUGGGCGUAAAGCGUGCGUAGGUGGUUGUUUAAGUCUGUCGUGAAAGCCCUGGGCUCAACCUGGGAAUGGCGAUGGAAACUGGGCGACUAGAGUGUGGCAGAGGGUAGUGGAAUUCCUGGUGUAGCAGUGAAAUGCGUAGAGAUCAGGAGGAACAUCCGUGGCGAAGGCGACUGCCUGGGCAAACACUGACACUGAGGCACGAAAGCGUGGGGAGCAAACAGGAUUAGAUGCCCUGGUAGUCCACGCCCUAAACGAUGCGAACUGGAUGUUGGGUGCAAUUUGGCACGCAGUAUCGAAGCUAACGCGUUAAGUUCGCCGCUUGGGGAGUACGGUCGCAAGACUGAAACUAAAAGGAAUUGGCGGGG